GGGUGUAUAGCUCAGUGGUGGAGUGUAUGCUUAGCAUGCACAAGGGCCUGAGUUCAAUCCCCGGUGCCUCCA
rnacentral:tRNA from 1 species